AGUCCUGUAGCUCAACGGUAGUAGCGUUUGCCUUACAAGCAAGGUGUUGCGGGUUCAAAUCCUGCCAGGACUACCA
rnacentral:tRNA from 2 species